UCCCUCAUAGCUCAGUUGGUAAAUCAUCUGCCUGCAAUGCAGGAGAUCUGGGUUCGAUUCCUGGGUUGGGAA
rnacentral:tRNA from 1 species